rnacentral:rRNA from 1 species
CCAGACUCCUACGGGAGGCAGCAGUGAGGAAUAUUGGUCAAUGGGCGCGAGCCUGAACCAGCCAAGUCGCGUGAGGGAAGACGGUCCUAUGGAUUGUAAACCUCUUUUGUCGGGGAGCAAGGCCCGCCACGUGUGGCGGGAAGGAGAGUACCCGAAGAAAAAGCAUCGGCUAACUCCGUGCCAGCAGCCGCGGUAAUACGGAGGAUGCGAGCGUUAUCCGGAUUUAUUGGGUUUAAAGGGUGCGUAGGCGGGAUGCCAAGUCAGCGGUAAAAAUGCGGUGCUCAACGCCGUCGAGCCGUUGAAACUGGCGUUCUUGAGUGGGCGAGAGGUAUGCGGAAUGCGUGGUGUAGCGGUGAAAUGCAUAGAUAUCACGCAGAACUCCGAUUGCGAAGGCAGCAUACCGGCGCCCUACUGACGCUGAGGCACGAAAGCGUGGGUAUCGAACAGGAUUAGAUACCCCGGUA